CUUAGCUAGUAGCCCCUCUCCACACCCCCACCUGAAGUUUCCAGGGCCACUCUGUGUGAGAAACAUGACACCUUAAAGUCCUAGUCCCACACCAGGAUUAGCCUUGGUGCUGGCAUGCUGGGCCCACAGGAAUUCAGGGAGGGGACUCACUGAGUACCCUUGAGUGGCGCAGUCAAAGGAGAAGCAGUUGAUGUGACAAGAAGUUUUAUUUUUCUACCCGGUCAGACAUAGGUAGUAAUAUUGUGAGGCACAGAGAAGGGGGAGACUAUGGGCUUCUGGAAAAGACACAAAAACAGAGCCUUCUGCAGAGAGCUCACCCUCUCCCCCACAUCCAGGAGCAUUUCAGCUGCUCAGCCAGGAAAGGGAGAUAAGGGGAGGUAGGGAAGACUGCAUUACACGGGGUUCUUCCAGGCAUUUUAGAUUUCCAUUUCCUCUCAGAUCAUUUCUCUCAGCAACAGGAUCCCAGAUCAGCAACAGCCCCUGGAGCCGUGACCACACCCAGAGCCCCCAGACUGCCGCCCACUGCCACUGUCACAGGUGUCAGAGCUGCAGAGCCGGCAUCUGUGGGAUCCAUGGUGCCUGUGGUGGCUCAGGAAGCAGCCGCACCCAGAGUUGGGGCUACAGCCACCCCCGGAGCCAGGAGCACAUCCAGCAGGGGCUGGGGGGGAGCACUGUGCUGGGCUCUUCGGGGGGCACUUGGGCGAUGAGGGGCACUUGGGAGGGGGCUGGCACUGCUGCUGGCUCUGCUGGCAGGACAUCUCUGCAGGACUUUGACCUUCAACAAAUAAAAGAAACAUUAUGAGCACAGAAGCUUCAGGCAAAAGUCCCCUCCCUGUGGGUUUUGUCAAACACUUGUCUCCAUGACCAAGCUGCUUUCUAAGCCACGCUCUGUGGGACAGGAAUGGGGACGCAGAGGGGACACGUGCCCUUGGAUGCCAGAUGGAUCUGUGUGCACCCCUGACAACAUACUCAGAACAAGAAUGGAAGGAAUCCUGAAGACCUGUGGCUUUGGGGGUUCACAGCCCCCGACAGGUGCCUCAGUGACUCUUUCCUCACCAUAAUGCCCCUUCACCACUGCUGCCCACUGUCUGGGCCCCUUCCUGCUGGUUCUGUGCAGAUCUGGGCUUGUCUUCCCAACGCUCUCAGCCGAGGGGAUACUCACGGAAUACUGAGGAGGCAGGACAAGGCUGUUGCUGAGGAGGCUGUGGAUGAAGAGGCCCAGGGCAGGAGCCCUUUUAUUC
rnacentral:lncRNA from 1 species